rnacentral:rRNA from 1 species
UACGAGUGGUGCAAGCGUUAUUCGGAAUCAUUGGGCGUAAAGGGCGUGUAGACGGCAUUUUAAGUCAACUGUUUAAUUCUCCAGCCUAACUGGAGGUCAGCGGUAGAAACUGAUGUGCUAGAGGGUGGAAGAGAGAAGUGGAAUUCUCGGAGUAGCGGUAAAAUGCGUAGAUCUCGAGAGGAACACCAAUGGCGAAGGCAGCUUCUUGGUCCACUCCUGACGUUGAAACACGAAAGCGUGGGGAGCAAACAGG